rnacentral:rRNA from 1 species
UACGAAGGGGGCUAGCGUUGCUCGGAAUACUGGGCGUAAAGCGUGCGCAGGCGGCUAUGCAAGACAGAUGUGAAAUCCCCGGGCUCAACCUGGGAACUGCGUUUGUGACUGUAUGACUAGAGUACGGUAGAGAGGGGUGGAAUUCCUGGUGUAGCAGUGAAAUGCGUAGAUAUCAGGAGGAACAUCGAUGGCGAAGGCAGCCCCUUGGACCUGUACUGACGCUCAUGCACGAAAGCGUGGGGAGCAAACAGG